CAGCAGCAGGCCAGCAAGAGCUAGAUGAAGUGUUGGGAAUGGGGCUGGGACUGACCACCUUGGAUUCUUUCUUGCUACCAGGAAAAGGAGCCCCAACGCUGUGUUUCCCUCUCCUCUAAGCCCUACUGAGUUGGCCUUGGGUCCCCUUCCUAACCACUGGAAGCCACCUGCCCCAAGGUCCCCAUGUGGAAACCUUGCAGUUGAUUCCCAGCUUCUGAGGCCAGUCACUGCACACACAUCCUCUAAAAGUGCAAAGACCCCUUCGUGCUCCUCACCCAGGAGGCUGGCUGACCUCUUCCAAACAGGUGAGGACUUUGAUGAUGACCCAUUCUGAGCUCCUCAAUGGCAUCCACCCUCAUCGAGGCCACAGCACCAUUUCCUUGGGUGCACCUCCUGAGAACCCCUGAUCCUAGAGGUGGAAAGUGCUGGCUUUGCAGAUCAUUCACCUGAGCACAAAGCCAGUUCUGAGCACUGCCAGGCUCCUCCAGCCCAGACUGUAAAUAAACAGUGUCACACACCA